rnacentral:rRNA from 1 species
CUUCCCUCUCUUUUCCUUUAUUUUUUCGCUUCCUCCCGACGGUCCAUCGGUCGGUCGAAGGAGAGAGGAGAGAAGGGGGUUAAGCGGGAGUUUAGGCGGCGGGGCGUAAAGGGCUGGGGGGCGUCUAGACCCUGGGAUGGGGCGGCCUAGCGGCGCGGCGGCGCCCUGAGCGCGCUAGGCUAGGGCGGCGUGGGUCAGCGGUUCAACCGCGGCGUCGCCUCCAGCGUCGCGGAGCGGCCGCCGCCGCGCCCCAGGCGGCGGCGGCGGCGCCCACGACCUCCCCGCAGGCGCGUCGGGCGGCUGUACCCCCUGAGAUCGCUGCGGCAGUACCGCGCCACCGACGUCAGGCGCCCCGACGUCGUGGAGCGCCGGAGCAGCCGCCCGGGGCGGCCCCUGGUUGCGCCGCGGCCGCACCCCCCGGAACCUCCGCGGCGGCCUCCUCGCCCGUACGACGGAUCAGACGAGUACGUCCCGAUACCUGGUGUCAGUCAACUUCUCUUUGUUUCCGAUAUAUACGACAACUCUUUGAACUUAAAAUUGCCUCUUAGAAACGGACGUAGUCAGAGACUCGGGAUAUGUGGUUGACGAGUCUUUAAACCGUCACCCUGAAGGCGUCUCCCAGACAUAAGUGGACUUGAAUCUCCACUUGAACCUCGACCAGAAGACCUAGAGGUACGAUACCUACUGUGACCUGAAGAAAGACUCCUACAUCUAAGUCUUGGUAAACUCGGAAGUGGGAAAUACGGUUUCCUUUAACUACUACUACUCCUACUAUACUAUUGUCCUUCGGUCGAUCCAGGUCGACUAUUGAUAUUACGUCACUGCUCACUUUUCCUCUAGUUAUGAUCUCUUUUAUUACAUCGCUUCUAGUUUCAACACCAUUCUUUCUCCGGGGACUUGUCUUUUCUCAAUAGAGCUUUCCUUCUACUACGACAUCGACACGUACUAAGUAGAAGAAACUGUCAAAUACUUGGAUUCGACUUCCAGCUGAACUGUCGAAUACACCUCGUCGUACUUAAAACAAAACUGCGACAGGACCUACUCCUACAAAGAUUACUGCUCCACAUAGCACUCUGUCACCUUGGGUAAUAUGGUUAUUAUAAGGUCUCUUGUUUUCGCUGUACAAAACGAAUACCUGUUUGUCCAUCACCCUUCUGUAUGUGUUACGUUGGAAACGGAGACUCUCGACGAGUUCUGUACUAAGCAGAAAACGUAGUUGGACAGAUGGCCUUAGUUUUAAAAUUCGACACCGAGUCGAUGAAGCUCUAUAUGCCACCCUUUGAGAUACUAGAAGAUAGUCUGUCUUCUGUGAAUGACUACUCCCUCCUACCGUUCUUUGUUCAAACGUAUCAGCCAGACGUCCUUAAACUCCAAAGACUACAGGUCCAACAGUCCCUUAUAUAACUCUCCCCUUUACGUCGUUCCUCGUGUCCCAGAUGUCCCCGGUUACUUCUCAGUAGCUCCAGUGUACGGUAAGACGUUGACCGACACUUCUUCGUAUAAUAUCAUUGACUUUGAUCCUCUGUUUCCCUGUCCCUACGGUUACUUCGAUUUUUGUGUUUCCGUCACCCUUUUUAUAGAAAAUAACUAGAACGACCUUCGCUUGCACCGCGACUAUGUUGUCUAUUACUAUCCGUCUGUUCUUAACUUCCACGUCUCUAUUUGUUCUCGGAGGAACGAGACUUCCUUACGUAGGCCCGGGAACUGUUACUAGUCUAUGUGUAAGGAAAGUCUCCUUCGUUCGAGUGUCUCCAAGAGGCACUGAGUAAACAACCGUUGAGAUCCUGCCACUACUAAAGAACGUAAAGAGGGUUACGUCCAAGUACACUUGUGUGCAAUUUAUGCAACUCUAUACGGCUAUCCCAAUUUUCAGAAAGUUUCCCACCGUUGUGUUCUUUCCUCGUCAGAUGACGUGGUUGAUAAGGAAGGUACUCCCUCAGAAGUAGACGAGGUAGGAUAGGAAAUAGACAACUCCGACUUCUUCAUGGGUUGGUCUAGGUCCUCUUCUCUGGACAGCUAUAUAGAUCCUCUCCGCGACUUUUAAAAUGGAGGUUGAGAAGCUACCUCGGACUGUCCUUAUUGAAAUCAUACUAGGGUUCAAUAAGAUUAUCUCCUUUUCUCCUUUUGCCACGUAGACCAAACUUACUAUCCCUCUCCCAACUAAAGUCAAGACCGGCUUGACAAAUGUUGUCAUUUCGUGUCAAUUAAGUCUUAAGUCGUUUACGUGUUCUCCUACUUUUCCAAUGCUCUCAGAGUGGAGGGUCCUCCUUCCAGUAUUCCCUUCUGUUCAGACUUUUCGUCUUGAUGUACUUUUUCCUAUCACCUUAGCUCCGUUCAGCCGGACCUAUAUUCCACGUCGUCCAUUCCGUCAACGUUGUCGUCGUUGCUGGUUGUAGACGAAGUCGAAGAGUCCAAAGUUCCGUUAGACUUUUUCUUUCAAGUACACUACUACACCUCUAUCUACGGUAAGAGCUCCUUCUCCUCCGGGAGUAACGUCGAGUGUCCUUCCUUUAGCUCUUAUGUUACCUCUAGCACGCGCUUCUCUACUUGGAAGACCGUCUUCAACUGGUUGGUCCGUCGGAAUAACUGCUGAUACACUGUGUUAACUCGAAAGAAAACAGUGCGUUCCGACGUCCGAACCAGUCGGAGGUUCGUGCGGAAAGUUCCAAAGUUGUCGCGGAGUUUCUCGUCCUCUAGGAAUCGGCCUUCUUUAGUAGGUCUAUCGACCAGUAGCGAGUAACUGAGGCCGGAAAACGGACGAGUCAUUUAAAUGUCCUCGAACUGGCGUAAAGAACUCUACAAAGAGAAGACACCAGAGGACAUUACAACCUGGACUCGUUGCUCGAUUUUCUUCUGUGGCGUAACCGAGUCCUGACCUACGUACCGAACGGGAGUUACGGCAAAAGGAAACAUACUCCUCUGCAGGCUGCAUUGACAAACGUCUAUACCUACCCAACUAAAAACCGUCGCCGAGGACAUGAUAACACCUGUGUCUAUGUAAUAACAACAUAAGAAAUGACUAUAACAAAAGCAGCUGUUUACUUUUACACACAAACACACACACACCGUUUCCUGAGCUUUCAAAGGGGGGGUAACACGGGUCACUUUUAAAGUCUGUCCAUACUAAUACUUACCAAACACUGAUCACUAGACGCUUCACACGUGUUGACUUAAAGUCAACAGUAAACACAAGAACACUCUCAAUCACGUAGUCUUUUAUUACGAGAACAUAGACCGAAAGAUGUAAUCUAGACGUUCGGAGAGUAG